ACUGGGUGUGGUGGCUCAUGCCUGUAAUCCCAGCUACUUGGGAGGCUGAGGCAGUAGGAUUGCUUGAGUCCAGGAGUUCAAGACCAGCCUGGGCAACAAAGCAAGACUCUGUCUCUA
rnacentral:SRP_RNA from 1 species